CCCCCGGCUCAACCGGGGAGGGUCAUUGGAAACUGGGAGACUUGAGUGCAGAAGAGGAGAGUGGAAUUCCAUGUGUAGCGGUGAAAUGCGUAGAUAUAUGGAGGAACACCAGUGGCGAAGGCGGCUCUCUGGUCUGUAACUGACGCUGAGGCUCGAAAGCGUGGGGAGCAAACAGGAUUAGAUACCCUGGUAGUCCACGCCGUAAACGAUGAGUGCUAAGUGUUGGAGGGUUUCCGCCCUUCAGUGCUGCAGCAAACGCAUUAAGCACUCCGCCUGGGGAGUACGACCGCAAGGUUGAAACUCAAAGGAAUUGACGGGGGCCCGCACAAGCGUGGAGCAUGUGGUUUAUUCGAACAACCGAAGAACCUUACCAGGUCUGACAUCCUUUGACACUCUAGAAUAGAGCUUUCCCUUCGGGGACAAAGUGACAGGUGGUGCAUGGUUGUCGUCAGCUCGUGUCGUGAGAUGUUGGGUUAAGUCCCGCAACGAGCGCAACCCUUAUUGUUAGUUGCCAUCAUUUAGUUGGGCACUCUAGCGAGACUGCCGGUGACAAACCGGAGGAAGGUGGGGAUGACGUCAAAUCAUCAUGCCCCUUAUGACCUGGGCUACACACGUGCUACAAUGGGAAGUACAACGAGUCGCUAGACCGCGAGGUCAUGCAAAUCUCUUAAAGCUUCUCUCAGUUCGGAUUGCAGGCUGCAACUCGCCUGCAUGAAGCCGGAAUCGCUAGUAAUCGCGGAUCAGCACGCCGCGGUGAAUACGUUCCCGGGCCUUGUACACACCGCCCGUCACACCACGAGAGUUUGUAACACCCGAGGUCGGUGCAGGUAACACUUUUUGGA
rnacentral:rRNA from 1 species